AGAGUUUGAUCAUGGCUCAGGAUGAACGCUAGCGAUAGGCCUAACACAUGCAAGUCGAGGGGCAGCACAUGAAGUAGCAAUACUGAUGGUGGCGACCGGCGCACGGGUGAGUAACGCGUAUGCAACCUACCUACAACAGGGGAAUAACUCGUUGAAAGACGGACUAAUACCCCAUAAUACAGGGAUCCCGCAUGGGAAUAUUUGUUAAAGAUUUAUCGGUUGUAGAUGGGCAUGCGUUCCAUUAGCUAGUUGGUGAGGUAACGGCUCACCAAGGCAACGAUGGAUAGGGGAACUGAGAGGUUUAUCCCCCACACUGGUACUGAGACACGGACCAGACUCCUACGGGAGGCAGCAGUGAGGAAUAUUGGUCAAUGGACGCAAGUCUGAACCAGCCACGUCGCGUGAAGGAGGACGGCCCUACGGGUUGUAAACUUCUUUUGUAAGGGAAUAAAGUGAGCCACGUGUGGUUUUUUGCAUGUACCUUACGAAUAAGGAUCGGCUAACUCCGUGCCAGCAGCCGCGGUAAUACGGAGGAUCCGAGCGUUAUCCGGAUUUAUUGGGUUUAAAGGGUGCGCAGGCGGGGGAUUAAGUCGGCGGUGAAAUUUUGCAGCUCAACUGUAAAAGUGCCUUCGAAACUGGUUUCCUUGAGUGUAGAUGAAGUAGGCGGAAUUUGUGGUGUAGCGGUGAAAUGCAUAGAUAUCACGAGGAACUCCGAUUGCGCAGGCAGCUUACUAAACUACUACUGACGCUCAGGCACGAAGGCGUGGGGAUCAAACAGGAUUAGAUACCCUGGUAGUCCACGCAGUAAACGAUGAUUACUAGCUGGCCCUUUAAUC
rnacentral:rRNA from 1 species